rnacentral:rRNA from 1 species
AUUGAACGCUGGCGGCAGGCCUAACACAUGCAAGUCGAGCGAAGCGGCGGAUGGGUGAGUAACGCGUGGGUAACCUGCCCUUACGUCUGGGAUACCCUUUGGCAACAGAUGCUAAUACCGGAUACUAAAGGAUGUACCUGCGAUGCAUUAGCUAGUUGGUAAGGUAACGGCUGACCAAGCCGAUGAUGCAUAGCCGGGUUGAGAGACUGAUCGGCCACAUUGGGACUGAGACACGGCCCAAACUCCGACGGGAGGCAGCAGUAGGGAAUCUUCCACAUUGGACGAAAGUCUGAUGGAGCAACGCCGCGUGAGUGAAGAAGGUUUUCGGAUCGUAAAGCUCUGUUGUUGGUGAAGCGGUAAUCAACCAGAAAGUCACGGCUAACUACGUGCCAGCAGCCGCGGUAAUUC